CACAGGCCUUACUUGUACACCCUUUAGCCGCAGAAGGUUUGGCGCUUUGCACUUCCCGAUCCAGGCCUUACAGGGAACACACCUAAAAAGGCUACCGCCAAAUCCAGGCACUUAGGUCCCUCUGCCUCCAAACCAAUAUGACGGGUGCACCCAUGACCACCCAUGAUCGCGUGCCCAUGUCACGCAAAUGAGCCUUCCCGCACCAGGCAGAAUGGGCGCGGCAGUGGAAACUUGCUAGAGCACAAAAAGAGAGCGACUCCGACUCAGAAAUCGGGACUAGUGAGGAGGCUGAUGCGGAGUCUGUGUGUGACUCUGACGAUGAGGUAUGCGGGCAGGACACUGACCCCUUUUGUCCCCGCUCAAUCGGGAAUGGUAGUGAG